CGUACACUCCUGCGGGAGGCAGCAGUGGGGAAUAUUGGACAAUGGGCGCAAGCCUGAUCCAGCCAUGCCGCGUGAGUGAUGAAGGCCCUAGGGUUGUAAAGCUCUUUCACCGGUGAAGAUAAUGACGGUAACCGGAGAAGAAGCCCCGGCUAACUUCGUGCCAGCAGCCGCGGUAAUACGAAGGGGGCUAGCGUUGUUCGGAUUUACUGGGCGUAAAGCGCACGUAGGCGGACUAUUAAGUCAGGGGUGAAAUCCCGGGGCUCAACCCCGGAACUGCCUUUGAUACUGGUAGUCUUGAGUUCGAGAGAGGUGAGUGGAAUUCCGAGUGUAGAGGUGAAAUUCGUAGAUAUUCGGAGGAACACCAGUGGCGAAGGCGGCUCACUGGCUCGAUACUGACGCUGAGGUGCGAAAGCGUGGGGAGCAAACAGGAUUAGAUACCCGGGUAGUCCC
rnacentral:rRNA from 1 species